GACGUAGGGCGCGAGCGUUGUCCGGAAUUAUUGGGCGUAAAGAGCUCGUAGGCGGCUUGUCACGUCGGAUGUGAAAGCCCGGGGCUUAACUCCGGGUCUGCAUUCGAUACGGGCUAGCUAGAGUGUGGUAGGGGAGAUCGGAAUUCCUGGUGUAGCGGUGAAAUGCGCAGAUAUCAGGAGGAACACCGGUGGCGAAGGCGGAUCUCUGGGCCAUUACUGACGCUGAGGAGCGAAAGCGUGGGGAGCGAACAGG
rnacentral:rRNA from 1 species